GACAGGGAUUACCUCAGUAACGGCGAGUGAAGCGGUAACAGCUCAAAUUUGAAAUCUGGGCCUUUCAGGCUCCGAGUUGUAAUUUGUAGAAGAUGCUUUGGGUGCGGCCCCGGUCUAAGUUCCUUGGAACAGGACGUCAUAGAGGGUGAGAAUCCCGUAUGUGAUCGGUGGCUUGCGCCCGUGUAAAGCUCUUUCGACGAGUCGGGUUGUUUGGGAAUGCAGCUCUAAAUGGGUGGUAAAUUUCAUCUAAAGCUAAAUAUUGGCCAGAGACCGAUAGCGCACAAGUAGAGUGAUCGAAAGAUGAAAAGCACUUUGGAAAGAGAGUUAAACAGUACGUGAAAUUGUUGAAAGGGAAGCGCUUGCAACCAGACUUGCGCGGGGUUGAUCAUCCGGGGUUCUCCCCGGUGCACUCGGCCCCGCUCAGGCCAGCAUCGGUUUUGGUGGUUGGAUAAAGGCCUUGGGAAUGUGACUUCUUUCGGGGAGUGUUAUAGCCCUCGGUGCAAUGCAGCCUACCGGGACCGAGGACCGCGCUUCGGCUAGGAUGCUGGCGUAAUGGUUGUAAGCGACCCGUCUUGAAACACGGACCAAGGAGUCUAACAUCUAUGCGAGUGUUUGGGUGUCAAACCCAUGCGCGUAAUGAAAGUGAACGGAGGUGAGAACCCUUAAGGGCGCAUCAUCGACCGAUCCUGAUGUCUUCGGAUGGAUUUGAGUAAGAGCAUAGCUGUUGGGACCCGAAAGAUGGUGAACUAUGCCUGAAUAGGGUGAAGCCAGAGGAAACUCUGGUGGAGGCUCGCAGCGGUUCUGACGUGCAAAUCGAUCGUCAAAUUUGGGCAUAGG
rnacentral:rRNA from 1 species